rnacentral:rRNA from 1 species
UACGGAGGGGGCAAGCGUUGUUCGGAAUUACUGGGCGUAAAGGGCGCGUAGGCGGAACAUUAAGUUAGGGGUGAAAGGCCUGGGCUCAACCUGGGAACGGCCUCUAAGACUGAUGAUCUCGAGUCCGGAAGAGGAUGGCGGAAUUCCCAGUGUAGAGGUGAAAUUCGUAGAUAUUGGGAAGAACACCGGUGGCGAAGGCGGCCAUCUGGUCCGGAACUGACGCUGAGGCGCGAAAGCGUGGGGAGCAAACAGG